UAGGAUAGUAGUCAAAUAUGAUGUCUGACUUGCACUCAGGUGGUGCUACAAAGUAGCCUAUCUUAU
rnacentral:tRNA from 1 species